GCCCGACUAGCUCAUCGGUAGAGCGCCUCACUAGUAUUUGAUCACCCACGGUCGAGUUCCCAAAUCACCUUGCCAUGGAUUGAUCAUACUGAUAUGAGGAGGCAACAGGUUCGAUUCCUGUGUUGGGCA
rnacentral:tRNA from 1 species